CUUGGCCUCUCAUUUUUCUCAUUCAUGUACUUUUCUGAAUAUUCCUAUUUACAUGCUCCUAUUCUUGUUUUCAUAGCAAGUGAUUGCUUUCAUCCACUGAGAAGAAAAGUGGAUGUCAAAAUCCAUGAGAAUUGCAUCUAUCUGCUGAAAGAACAUUAGCUAGGAUGGGAGGUUGCUGUUGUUCUGCAAGAAAGCCCCUGCUCCAUGGAUCCCCUGUACUUUACUAUUGCCCACCAUGUUCAGAGGAGCGUGACUCUUUGACAUCAAAUUUAAGGUAGCAGGCUUGGACUUUGCAUUUACAGAGAGCACUGUUGUUUACCACACCAAGGUGGAUUGAUCCUCUU